UGGCUCCUUCACUCAUUAUAUUCCACUCC
rnacentral:piRNA from 1 species